CACAAUGGGCGAAAGCCUGAUGCAGCGACGCCGCGUGAGGGAUGACGGCCUUCGGGUUGUAAACCUCUUUCAGCAGGGAAGAAGCGCAAGUGACGGUACCUGCAGAAGAAGCACCGGCUAACUACGUGCCAGCAGCCGCGGUAAUACGUAGGGUGCGAGCGUUGUCCGGAAUUAUUGGGCGUAAAGAGCUCGUAGGCGGUCUGUCGCGUCGGAUGUGAAAGCCCGGGGCUUAACUCCGGGUCUGCAUUCGAUACGGGCAGACUAGAGUGUGGUAGGGGAGAUCGGAAUUCCUGGUGUAGCGGUGAAAUGCGCAGAUAUCAGGAGGAACACCGGUGGCGAAGGCGGAUCUCUGGGCCAUUACUGACGCUGAGGAGCGAAAGCGUGGGGAGCGAACAGGAUUAGAUACCCUGGUAGUCCACGCCGUAAACGUUGGGAACUAGGUGUUGGCGACAUUCCACGUCGUCGUGCCGCAGCUAACGCAUUAAGUUCCCCGCCUGG
rnacentral:rRNA from 1 species